UUUGAAUCCAGUUGGUACUUCCUGUCUACUGAGACUAAAACCUGGAAGGAGAGCAGAGAGGACUGUCUGGAGAGAGGAGCAGACCUGGUGAUCAUAAACAGUGAUAAGGAACAGACAUUUCUCUUCAACCUCAACAAGAGAGUCUGGAUUGGUCUGACUGACUCUGAUAAUGAGGGGACCUGGAAAUGGGUGGACGGCACCCCACUGACCACAGGGUACUGGUAUUACCCAUGUCCUGAUAAUGCAGGUCCUACUCAGAACGAGGACUGUGGUGAGAUACGUAAUGACCAGCUUCCUCUAAAGGCAUGGAACGACUUGUCAUGUGACAGCCAACUCAACUGGAUUUGUGAGAAAGCGUUUUAACAUCACCAUGACAACAUACUGUAACAUACAGCAGCCUACAGUGCA